CAAGUAAAAAGAGUAAAAAAAAAGAGAGUAUUUGAUUCAACAGUGUAGAAAUUUCAUUAUUGAUAAUAUUUUAUCUUACCAUUUUGUUAAUCCUGGCAGGAAAUAUAUGAAAUCAUUUCAUUUCAAUUAAAUUUAAUGAUUAUGGGAAAAUAAAUAAUAAUAGUAAUAAAAUCAAGCAAUUUAUUACAGAAAGCUGAAAAUAAAACAAAAUGAAAAAUAUCGAGAUAAUGAAAAGUAAUUAAAAUUUAAAAUUUAAAAAUAUUUUUGAAUUAGAUAGUAAAACAAACAGAUCUGGGCUGCACAUUGUAAGAAUUCAUUUUAGAUAUCGUUUUUCCAUCAGUAUUGUACAUUUUCUUUUUUCAUUAUUCAAAUCUAAUAAAGAUGAAAUAAAUUUUUGGAUGAUCCAAGAAAGAGAAGAAAUUGCUUAGUUGAAUUUCAUUAUUUGAAUUCCAAAACACUUUCAAUUAAACAUGGCAAAUGCUCAAAAUCAUUUUUCUAUUAUUUUCCUAUUAAAUUUUAUAGGAGAAAGUGAUUACUGUUUGUCUGGUGUUUUACAGAUAUUUGAAACCGGUAAAAGAAAUGGAUCAAUAUUUUCUGUCAAAUCAUUUCUUAAAAAUAUAUAAUUAAAUUAAAAAAAAAAAAACCCCAAAAAUUCAAGGAAAAUAACUCUUAUUUGUCUGUCCGUGGUUAUCUCCCGUAGAAACACUCUCUGAUGAUGUACGUCUCUGAAUGCAAAAGAGACUAUGUUAAGAUUUUGCUACUGGGUAAAGAAAACUAUGUUCCGGAGUAGUCAUUUGUUUUAGUAACUGGUAUUAGCAUAUCUUCAAAAUACAAUCUUCAGGUAAGGGGGCUUCAAUAUUACUGACAACUGAACUGAUAAUAAGCCUCUCUAUAAAAUCUUGAAAAUGUUUACGUCAGAUCUUCCUGCUGUUUAACUUACAUGAGAAGGCAUAUAUCAUCAAUGUUUUUUAACACUUAUGUUAAAACAUUUAUGUAGAAGCUUAGAUAUUUUUGUGGCUAUUCAGAAGUUCGCAAAACUUCAAAUUUUUUUGUCAUUUUUUUGCCUGAAACAUUGUCAUUUUUUUGCCAGCAGGUUUGGGCAGUAUUUGAUUUUAGGAUAAACUUGAUUAGAAAUAUGCCUUCAGUGAGACAUUUGUAGUCAAUGUCAGUUUUAAUAUAGUCUAAAAAAAA